CCGAGUACGGGCCCCCGCGGCCCAACCUCCCACCCUUGUCUCUAUACACCUGUUGCUUGGCGGGCCCACCGGGGCCACUGGUCGCCGGGGGACGCUCGUCCCCGGGGCCCGUGCCCGCGGAGCGCCCUGUGACCCUGAUGAGAUGGGCUGUCUGAGUACAAUGAAAAUUGUCA
rnacentral:misc_RNA from 1 species